rnacentral:rRNA from 1 species
GAUGAACGCUGGCGGCGUGCCUAAACCAGGCAAGCGGACGGACCGACCGAGGGGUUGCCUCCCCGGACUUUACCGCGGGACGGGGGAGUAACACGUGGAUAACCACCUUUUAGAACGGGGUUAAUUUCGGGAAACCGAGCUAAAUCCCGGAUAUAUAAUUGAACGGCAGGGUUAAUUAGUGAAAGAGGGUUUUCCGUUAACUAUAAAAGGAUCCCGCGCCGCAUUAGCUAGUUGGUAAGGUAACGGCUUACCAAGGCAACGAUGCGUAGCCGACCUAAGAGGGUGAUCGGCCACACUGGAACUGAGACACGGUCCAGACUCCUACGGGAGGCAGCAGUAGGGAAUCUUCCGCAAUGGGCGAAAGCCUGACGGAGCAACGCCGCGUGAGUGAUGAAGGUCUUCGGAUCGUAAAACUCUGUUAUUAGGGAAGAACAAAUGUGUAAGUAACUAUGCACGUCUUGACGGUACCUAAUCAGAAAGCCACGGCUAACUACGUG